UACGGGAGGCAGCAGUGGGGAAUAUUGCACAAUGGGCGCAAGCCUGAUGCAGCCAUGCCGCGUGUAUGAAAAAGGCCUUCGGGUUGUAAAGUACUUUCAGUCGUGAGGAAGGUGUUAAGGUUAAUAACCUUAGCAAUUGACGUUAGCGACAGAAGAAGCACCGGCUAACUCCGUGCCAGCAGCCGCGGUAAUACGGAGGGUGCGAGCGUUAAUCGGAAUUACUGGGCGUAAAGGGCACGCAGGCGGUUAAUUAAGUUGGAUGUGAAAUCCCCGGGCUUAACCUGGGAAUGGCAUUCAAGACUGGUUAGCUAGAGUCUUGUAGAGGGGGUAGAAUUCCAUGUGUAGCGGUGAAAUGCGUAGAGAUGUGGAGGAAUACCGGUGGCGAAGGCGGCCCCUGGCAAAGACUGACGCUCAUGUGCGAAAGCGUGGGGAGCGAAAC
rnacentral:rRNA from 1 species